rnacentral:rRNA from 1 species
AAUAGAUACCCGGGUAGUCCACGCCGUAAACGAUGAAUGCCAGCCGUUAGUGGGUUUACUCACUAGUGGCGCAGCUAACGCUUUAAGCAUUCCGCCUGGGGAGUACGGUCGCAAGAUUGAAACUCAAAGGAAUUGACGGGGGCCCGCACAAGCGGUGGAGCAUGUGGUUUAAUUCGAAGCAACGCGAAGAACCUUACCAGGUCUUGACAUCCUCUGACACUCCUAAAGAUAGGACGUUCCCCUUCGGGGGACAGAGUGACAGGUGGUGCAUGGUUGUCGUCAGCUCGUGUCGUGAGAUGUUGGGUUAAGUCCCGCAACGAGCGCAACCCUCGUUUUUAGUUGCCAGCAUUGAGUCGGGCACUCUAGAGAGACUGCCGGUGACAAACCGGAGGAAGGUGGGGAUGACGUCAAGUCAGCAUGCCCCUUACAUUCUGGGCUACACACGUACUACAAUGCUGCGGACAAAGGGCAGCAAGCCAGCGAUGGCAAGCCAAUCCCAUAAACCGUGGCUCAGUUCAGAUCGCG